rnacentral:rRNA from 1 species
CACACUUCAGAGCACGAUGAAAUAUANUAUUCUGNAUGAAAUUCGCCAAUGCCAUUAACAUAAAAGAGGUAAUGGAUAACUGUUACUAAUUGAAAGUCUGGUUAAUAGCGGUCUUAACUAUGAGGAUCCUAAGGUACGCCAAAACUCAGUUGGCCAUUAAAUGUGGUCUGGUAUCAAUAGUGUAACGAUGGUCCUCACUGUCUCUACAACUUGCUCAGCGAAAUUGAAUUAUCCGUGCAGAUGCGGAUUGCCUCCACGUGGACGGGAAGACCCUAUGCAGCUUCUACUGGC